rnacentral:tRNA from 1 species
GGGUCGGUAGCUCAGUGGUAGAGCAGCUCCCUUUUAAGGAGAAUGUCGUGAGUUCGAUCCUCACCCGACCCA